ensembl:ncRNA asRNA:CR43875 antisense RNA:CR43875
AACUCCCCACAAACAAUGUCAACCUAACGCACGAGCAUCAGCUGAGUGACUGAGUGACUGAGAGACUGCUCCAUCGACCAUUCAGCACCGUACUGAUAUGGUCAUCCCAUCCCACCGCCACCGCCAUCGUCCCACAGCCGGGUCCAAAUCAGUUCAGACUCGGAUUCAGAUGCGAGAGCCGCAGCGAGAGAACGCGGUAUUGAUAUUGGCAGACCUUUGUCUGCCGCUCUUGACAAUGAAGCCUCAUUCGCGAAAUGGAAAUCAGGUGGAAUCACUACUAUGAGUUGCAGCUAAUCCGAUGGUGAAACUGGUUGAAAUGCCGGGUUAACUCCAGUAACUCACCUUUAGAUCACAUCUACAUCAACUGUGCCUGAAUCCAAGAUAUUUUAAAAGAUCGGGAUCCUCGUCCGCAGCCUUCUUGAUCCGCAGCAAGAUGGUGGUGUACCACUGAUCCAACCGGGAGAUGCUGUCGUAGUCCUUGACGGCCUCUGUGAAUCCCUCGAUGUUCUGUUCCUCUAGAUUCUCGCACAACACCUGUAAUUCGAAAAGCGUCUUAAAGUAAAUAUCUGCGAAAACCAAAGACGACACACACACACCAAAGAUAAAACUUAAGCAAACUGAUACCCACCUUGAUGAGCUUGAACUCCCUGGAGUCCUGGAAUGCUGGGUACUGCUGCGCAUACUUUUCGAUGGCAUGCUGGGCGUUCAGGAGGUCCACGCUGAGAUGGCAUAGAGCGGCCCUGAAGAAGUACUCCUUGGCACUGUACUUGAGCAGAGAGCUCUCCAGCGAGGAGGCGG